ACUUAAAUUGAAGAGUUUGAUCAUGGCUCAGAUUGAACGCUGGCGGCAGGCCUAACACAUGCAAGUCGAGCGGUAGCACAGAGAGCUUGCUCUCGGGUGACGAGCGGCGGACGGGUGAGUAAUGUCUGGGAAACUGCCUGAUGGAGGGGGAUAACUACUGGAAACGGUAGCUAAUACCGCAUAAUGUCGCAAGACCAAAGUGGGGGACCUUCGGGCCUCAUGCCAUCAGAUGUGCCCAGAUGGGAUUAGCUUGUAGGUGGGGUAACGGCUCACCUAGGCGACGAUCCCUAGCUGGUCUGAGAGGAUGACCAGCCACACUGGAACUGAGACACGGUCCAGACUCCUACGGGAGGCAGCAGUGGGGAAUAUUGCACAAUGGGCGCAAGCCUGAUGCAGCCAUGCCGCGUGUGUGAAGAAGGCCUUCGGGUUGUAAAGCACUUUCAGCGGGGAGGAAGGCGGUGAGGUUAAUAACCUCAUCGAUUGACGUUACCCGCAGAAGAAGCACCGGCUAACUCCGUGCCAGCAGCCGCGGUAAUACGGAGGGUGCAAGCGUUAAUCGGAAUUACUGGGCGUAAAGCGCACGCAGGCGGUCUGUCAAGUCGGAUGUGAAAUCCCCGGGCUCAACCUGGGAACUGCAUUCGAAACUGGCAGGCUAGAGUCUUGUAGAGGGGGGUAGAAUUCCAGGUGUAGCGGUGAAAUGCGUAGAGAUCUGGAGGAAUACCGGUGGCGAAGGCGGCCCCCUGGACAAAGACUGACGCUCAGGUGCGAAAGCGUGGGGAGCAAACAGGAUUAGAUACCCUGGUAGUCCACGCCGUAAACGAUGUCGAUUUGGAGGUUGUGCCCUUGAGGCGUGGCUUCCGGAGCUAACGCGUUAAAUCGACCGCCUGGGGAGUACGGCCGCAAGGUUAAAACUCAAAUGAAUUGACGGGGGCCCGCACAAGCGGUGGAGCAUGUGGUUUAAUUCGAUGCAACGCGAAGAACCUUACCUGGUCUUGACAUCCACAGAACUUAGCAGAGAUGCUUUGGUGCCUUCGGGAACUGUGAGACAGGUGCUGCAUGGCUGUCGUCAGCUCGUGUUGUGAAAUGUUGGGUUAAGUCCCGCAACGAGCGCAACCCUUAUCCUUUGUUGCCAGCGGUCCGGCCGGGAACUCAAAGGAGACUGCCAGUGAUAAACUGGAGGAAGGUGGGGAUGACGUCAAGUCAUCAUGGCCCUUACGACCAGGGCUACACACGUGCUACAAUGGCAUAUACAAAGAGAAGCGACCUCGCGAGAGCAAGCGGACCUCAUAAAGUAUGUCGUAGUCCGGAUUGGAGUCUGCAACUCGACUCCAUGAAGUCGGAAUCGCUAGUAAUCGUAGAUCAGAAUGCUACGGUGAAUACGUUCCCGGGCCUUGUACACACCGCCCGUCACACCAUGGGAGUGGGUUGCAAAAGAAGUAGGUAGCUUAACCUUCGGGAGGGCGCUUACCACUUUGUGAUUCAUGACUGGGGUGAAGUCGUAACAAGGUAACCGUAGGGGAACCUGCGGUUGGAUCACCUCCUUACCUUAAAGAA
rnacentral:rRNA from 3 species